UACUCCAUAGUUCGUCUUAACUGGAAUGUUAUUCGAACGAAAGAUCCGUCGCUCCAGGAUGAGUCUGCGGCCGAUUAGGUAGUUGUUGGGGUAACGGCCCAACAAGCCUUUCAUCGGUACGGGUUGUGGGAGCAAGAGCCCGGAGAUGGAUUCUGAGACACGAAUCCAGGCCCUACGGGGCGCAGCAGGCGCGAAAACUUUACCAUGCGGGCAACCGUGAUAAGGAAACCCCGAGUGCCAGCACAGGCUGGCUGUCCGCCAGUUUAAAUAACUGGUGAAGAAAGGGCCGGGCAAGACCGGUGCCAGCCGCCGCGGUAAUACCGGCGGCUCGAGUGGUGGCCGCUAUUACUGGGCUUAAAGGGUCCGUAGCUUGAUAACUGGGUCCCUUGAGAAAUCCGCCAGCUCAACUGGCGGGCGUUCAGGGGAAACUUGUUUUCUAGGGACCGGGAGAGGUGAGGGGUACUGCCGGGGUAGGAGUGAAAUCCUGUAAUCCCGGUGGGACCACCUAUGGCGAAGGCAUCUCACCAGAACGGGUCCGACAGUGAGGGACGAAAGCUGGGGGAGCAAACCGGAUUAGAUACCCGGGUAGUCCCAGCUGUAAACUAUGUGCGUUAGGUGUGUCAGUGACCGCGUGUCACUGAGGUGCCGAAGGGAAACCGUGAAACGCACCGCCUGGGGAGUACGGUCGCAAGGCUGAAACUUAAAGGAAUUGGCGGGGGAGCAAAUCCCGCGGCCAUGGCGGCCGGAGCA
rnacentral:rRNA from 1 species